rnacentral:rRNA from 1 species
GCUAAUACCGCAUAAUGCCUACGGGCCAAAGAGGGGGACCUUCGGGCCUCUCGCGUCAAGAUAUGCCUAGGUGGGAUUAGCUAGUUGGUGAGGUAAUGGCUCACCAAGGCGACGAUCCCUAGCUGGUCUGAGAGGAUGAUCAGCCACACUGGAACUGAGACACGGUCCAGACUCCUACGGGAGGCAGCAGUGGGGAAUAUUGCACAAUGGGCGAAAGCCUGAUGCAGCCAUGCCGCGUGUAUGAAGAAGGCCUUCGGGUUGUAAAGUACUUUCAGUUGUGAGGAAGGGGGUGUCGUUAAUAGCGGCAUCUCUUGACGUUAGCAACAGAAGAAGCACCGGCUAACUCCGUGCCAGCAGCCGCGGUAAUACGGAGGGUGCGAGCGUUAAUCGGAAUUACUGGGCGUAAAGCGCAUGCAGGUGGUUUGUUAAGUCAGAUGUGAAAGCCCGGGGCUCAACCUCGGAAUAGCAUUUGAAACUGGCAGACUAGAGUACUGUAGAGGGGGGUAGGAUUUCAGGUGUAGCGGUGAAAUGCGUAGAGAUCUGAAGGAAUACCGGUGGCGAAGGCGGCCCCCUGGA